UACGAAGGGGGCUAGCGUUGUUCGGAAUUACUGGGCGUAAAGCGCACGUAGGCGGGUCGUUAAGUCAGGGGUGAAAUCCCGGAGCUCAACUCCGGAACUGCCUUUCAUACUGGCGAUCUUGAGUCCGGAAGAGGUGAGUGGAACUCCUAGUGUAGAGGUGGAAUUCGUAGAUAUUAGGAAGAACACCAGUGGCGAAGGCGGCUCACUGGUCCGGUACUGACGCUGAGGUGCGAAAGCGUGGGGAGCAAACAGG
rnacentral:rRNA from 1 species